CCUACGGGAGGCAGCAGUGAGGAAUAUUGGACAAUGGUCGAAAGACUGAUCCAGCCAUGCCGCGUGCAGGAAGACGGCCCUAUGGGUUGUAAACUGCCUUUGUUUGGGAAGAAACCUUUCUACGUGUAGAAAGCUGACGGUACCAUACGAAUAAGCACCGGCUAACUCCGUGCCAGCAGCCGCGGUAAUACGGAGGGUGCAAGCGUUAUCCGGAUUUAUUGGGUUUAAAGGGUCCGUAGGCGGACUUAUAAGUCAGUGGUGAAAUCCUGCAGCUCAACUGUAGAACUGCCAUUGAUACUGUAAGUCUUGAAUUCGGUUGAAGUGGGCGGAAUAUGGCAUGUAGCGGUGAAAUGCUUAGAUAUGCCAUAGAACACCGAUUGCGUAGGCAGCUCACUAAGCCUGGAUUGACGCUGAGGGACGAAAGCGUGGGUAGCGAACAGGAUUAGAUACCCUGGUAGUCCACGACCGUAACGAUAGAUACUCGACAUAGCGAUACACGUAGUGU
rnacentral:rRNA from 1 species